rnacentral:rRNA from 1 species
ACACUACAUGGCACUCUACCUUGUCGGGUUACGCUUGCGAACAGACACCUCAAAGUCACGCCCAUCUGCCCUGCAUGUUCUAGUGCGCCAGAAGAUACAAAGCAUAUGUUGUUUCUUUGUCACAAAGCUAAGGAGGUUUGGCGUAAUCUGGGAUUGGAUGAGGUGAUCAACAAGGCUUGUGUUAUGGAUCGUGCAGGAGAGGUACUCCUUGAAUUUUUACUUCUUAUGCCAGAUCAUGAUGUAGCUAUAUUGGGCUUCCAGAAGACCCACGAACUAAUCGCUAUUACUGAUUGGUACUUAUGGUGGGAAAGACGUGGCUGGUCCAUGAAGGAAAGUUUCAAGAUGCUCAACAAACUUCUAUGGGUAUCCAUGCCAUAG